UUAAUUGAAGCCAAAACUAGAGGCAAUUUAUUGUUAAUAAAUGUAUUGAUAUCCAAAUAUCCAAUUAAA
rnacentral:tRNA from 1 species